GCUGUCGUGGGCCAUGGGGGCCGCCUCCCUGACAUCAUAGGGAAAUAUCUUUGGCGCCUUAUCAGGAGCGAAGCGGAGGUUCGAUUCCUCCCGAUGGCA